GAUGAACGCUAGCGGCGUGCUUAACACAUGCAAGUCGAACGAUGAAGCCCAGCUUGCUGGGUGGAUUAGUGGCGAACGGGUGAGUAACACGUGAGUAACCUGCCCUUAACUCUGGGAUAAGCCUGGGAAACUGGGUCUAAUACCGGAUAGGAGCGCCUACCGCAUGGUGGGUGUUGGAAAGAUUUAUCGGUUUUGGAUGGACUCGCGGCCUAUCAGCUUGUUGGUGAGGUAAUGGCUCACCAAGGCGACGACGGGUAGCCGGCCUGAGAGGGUGACCGGCCACACUGGGACUGAGACACGGCCCAGACUCCUACGGGAGGCAGCAGUGGGGAAUAUUGCACAAUGGGCGAAAGCCUGAUGCAGCGACGCCGCGUGAGGGAUGACGGCCUUCGGGUUGUAAACCUCUUUCAGUAGGGAAGAAGCGAAAGUGACGGUACCUGCAGAAGAAGCACCGGCUAACUACGUG
rnacentral:rRNA from 1 species